rnacentral:rRNA from 1 species
UACAGAGGUCUCAAGCGUUGUUCGGAUUCAUUGGGCGUAAAGGGUGCGUAGGCGGCGCGGUAAGUCGGGUGUGAAAUCUCGGAGCUUAACUCCGAAACUGCAUUCGAUACUGCCGUGCUUGAGGACUGGAGAGGAGACUGGAAUUCAUGGUGUAGCAGUGAAAUGCGUAGAGAUCAUGAGGAAGACCAGUGGCGAAGGCGGGUCUCUGGACAGUUCCUGACGCUGAGGCACGAAGGUCAGGGGAGCAAACGGG